rnacentral:rRNA from 1 species
UGGGGAAUAUUGGACAAUGGAGGAAACUCUGAUCCAGCAAUUCUGUGUGUGUGAAGAAGGUUUUAGGACUGUAAAACACUUUUAGUAGGGAAGAAAAAAAUGACGGUACCUACAGAAGAAGCAACGGCUAAAUACGUGCCAGCAGCCGCGGUAAUACGUAUGUUGCGAGCGUUAUCCGGAAUUAUUGGGCUUAAAGGGCAUCUAGGCGGUAAGACAAGUUGAAGGUGAAAACCUGUGGCUCAACCAUAGGCUUGCCUACAAAACUGUUGAACUAGAGUACUGGAAAGGUGGGUGGGACUACACGAGUAGAGGUGAAAUUCGUAGAUAUGUGUAGGAAUGCGGAUGAUGAAGAUAACUCACUGGACAGAACCUGACGCUGAAGUGCGAAAGCUAGGGGAGCAAACAGG